rnacentral:rRNA from 1 species
GACGGCAGCACGGGGGAACCUUUGGUGGCGUGUGGCGACGGGUGAGUAAUGCAUUGGAACGUAUCCUUUAGUGGGGGAUAACGCAGCGAAAGUUGUGCUAAUACCGCAUAAGCUCUGAGGAGGAAAGCGGGGGACCGAAAGGCCUCGCGCUGAAGGAGCGGCCUAUGUCCGAUUAGCUAGUUGGUGAGGUAAAGGCUUACCAAGGCGACGAUCGGUAGCUGGUCUGAGAGGAUGAUCAGCCACACUGGGACUGAGACACGGCCCAGACUCCUACGGGAGGCAGCAGUGGGGAAUUUUGGACAAUGGUGGGAAACCCUGAUCCAGCCAUGCCGCGUGAGUGAAGAAGGCCUUCGGGUUGUAAAGCUCUUGCGUGAGGGAAGAAAAGGUUCAGGCGAAUAACCUGGAUUGAUGACGGUACCUCAAGAAGAAGCACCGGGCUAACUACGUGCCAGCAUCCGCGGUAAUACGUAGGGUGCGAGCGUUAAUCGGAAUUACUGGGCGUAAAGCGUGCGCAGGUGGUUUGUUAAGUCAGAUGUGAAAGCCCCGAGCUUAACUUGGGAACUGCGUUUGAAACUGGCAAGCUAGAGUCUGUCAGAGGGGGGUAGAAUUCCACGUGUAGCAGUGAAAUGCGUAGAGAUGUGGAGGAAUACCAAUGGCGAAGGCAGCCCCCUGGGAUAAGACUGACGCUCAUGCACGAAAGCGUGGGGGAGCAAACAGGAUUAGAUGACCCUGGUAGUCCACGCCCUAAACGAUGUCAACUGGUUUGUUGGGGCAACUUGAUUGUUCAGUAACGAAGCUAACGCGAGAAGUUGACCGCCUGGGGAGUACGGUCGCAAGAUUAAAACUCAAAGGAAUUGACGGGGACGCGCACAAGCGGUGGAUGAUGUGGAUUAAUUCGAUGCAACGCGAAAAACCUUACCUACCCUUGACAUGUACGGAAGUCUGCUGAGAGGUGGAUGUGCCUGAAAGGGAACCGUAACACAGGUGCUGCAUGGCUGUCGUCAGCUCGUGUCGUGAGAUGUUGGGUUAAGUCCCGCAACGAGCGCAACCCUUGCUAUUAAUUGCCAUCAUUAAGUUGGGCACUUUAAUAGGACUGCUGGUGAUAAACCGGAGGAAGGUGGGGAUGUCGUCAAGUCCUCAUGGCCCCUUAUGGGUAGGGCUUCACACGUCAUACAAUGGCCGGUACAGAGGGAUGCCAACCCGCGAGGGGGAGCAAAUCUCAGAAAGCCGGUCGUAGUCCGGAUUGUUCUCUGCAACUCGAGAGCAUGAAGUCGGAAUCGCUAGUAAUCGC